CCCCCUGCCCCCGGAUGGUGCACGCGGUGCGGGCCCCACCCCGGCCCCGCACGCUGGGGAAGCCCCCCCGCGCCGCGCCCCUGGAGCUCCGGCUCCGCCACCCCUUCCUCCCCUCCUGCCCCCCCGCCUCCUCCUGCCGCCGCCGCCGGGAGCCCGGACGGCCCCCGACCCGCCCCCGGCCCCGCUCUUAAAGGCGCCGCCCCGCCGCUUUACGUAACGGCGGGGGUGAGGACGGACAGACGGACAGAUGUUUGGAUGAGCACGGGGAUGGACGCACGGACAGACUCACCGCGGAGCAGUGCCAGGCCCCGGGACCGAUCCACUGCACCGGGGACGCGGACUGCCCUGCACUGCCAAAAUCUCUGCUCCCAGAGUUACCGCAGGGAGAGAGCUCUGCCAGGCGCAGGCAGGAGCUGCGGGAAACGACGUCCCUCCAACAAGUAAAUCAUCCCCGGGGGAAGAGGAGGGACCAGAGCUAUGCCGGGACAGCCCAUAAAGCGCGAGCUGGGAUCCUGGAGAAGCUACCGCACACCCAAAUAGUGCGACUUCUAGAGAUGUGGUGUUUGUAAAGCAGAAGAUGAGACCGGCAUGAGGGACAGGGGAGAAGAGCAGAGAGAAAUUGAAGUUAUUUAAAUGCAGAGCCCCAAACCCAUGCAGUCUCACCCGAGCAGGCCUCUGGGGCUGAGGAAGCAGGUCCUGCCCUCCCAGAGCUGCCCUAGGCUCUAAGCAGUAUCCACACUUGCAUAUCUACCCUGGCCCACGGGACCUCCAGGAUGAGGGGCAGGAACAAGGCAUGAACAAGUGCUGGCUUCCUGGGACACAGCCACCCACAGGCUCCUCCAGCCACCUUCUCAACAGCAGAGACCUCCAAGGCCAUGGCCAAGGGAAACCUGACACUUCAUCCUUCUCCCAUCAUUCAUCCAUACAUCACAGGCUUUUCAGAGUCAAUACUGUGAUGGGGAAGCAAAAGUAGGACACGAAAUGAGGGGGAGGUCUGGGGCCUCCUCCAGUUGUGCUCCUCCACCUCAUUACCAGAGUCCUUAUUGCAGUUGUUUGUGAUAAGGCAGGACUCAGCUGAGUAGCACUGUGAAGUUCAGAUUUGCUACUGCACAUCAACUGAUACUGGAGCUGCUAUAGAGCAGCCCUGAUGGAACAGAACAGCCUUCCUCCAGCUGCCCAAGCUCACCCAUGGCCACAAUGCCACAACAGCAUCAUGGCUUUGCAAGAAGUCACAAGAGAAGGGGUGUGUUCAAGCUUCAACAUCUUUAUUAAAGCAGACAGCAGGUAAUCCAGAACCCCACAAGAGAAACUGAGUGUUCAAGCUUCAAAAAUACUUUAUUCAAGCAAACAGCAGGUAAAUCCAGAAACAGUUUAGCACCCCACAGCAGUCAGAUGCCAGCAGUGAGCAAGGCAUCCCAACAUCCCAGUAGUCACAGCUGUGCUGCCUAGCCAGGAGACAAGCUUUGUCUUUUGUCUCUCUCUGCUGGCUAUAAAGCACAAGAUUAAAUCUGACAUCAAGAUGCAUGCAAACACCACAGUGAGGACUCCCAGACAGCAGCUUUUAGAUGCCAUCCA